AUGAUGGAGAGCGAGACCCCACCCACCUCUCCGCCUCAUGAAGCGGGCGACACCGAGGUGUCGUCACGGAGGAGUCCGGAUCUACCGAAGAUGGAAGCUAAUACGUCAGCCGCCCUGAGCCCGGAGCGUUUGGCUCCCACGGGAGGUGAUGAGAAGGGUCCGACACAGUUCGAUGUCCGGCCGGACAUACUGACAGGCCUUUUGGAGCGAGCUGCACUCUCGGAGGAGCACCGCUCAUUAAUGAGCAGGGUGCUCAAGGGGCUUUCAUCCGCUACAAGUGGUUUGAAUGAAGCAUUUACAAGCCUGCUCAGAGGCUUUGAGGUAUCUAAGGGUCCGGCAGCCAACCAGUCUGUUGAAGUUGCCGAGCUAAGGAGGCAGAUCGGAUCUAUUGAUGCCGAUAUCACGCUGGUGAACAAGCGGCUGAACGAGUCACAAGAUGGUGCUGCUGCCGUGGAAGCCCUGAGGGCGGAACUUGCCCAAGCCAAGGAACAAGCUCGGGUUAGCAAUGCGGCUGCCCUAAAGGCGGCCGAAGAAUUGAGAGCCGAACAGGCUGCUCAUCGCCGAAGCGAGGAUAAUAUAGCCGAAAUGACUGAGGAGUUGAAAAAUGCCCCCGACCGGUAUGAACUCCUUGAAAAGGAGAAUAAGGCUAGUUCUGCAGACCUGAACAAGGCACUUAAUGCCACCAAGGAGAUGCGGACCAAGGUCAGGGGUGUGCGGGAGGAGCUUCAACAGGCUGGUAAAAUCGCGGCUAGGGGCUCCUACUUACUGCGGACGAAGUAUUUGGAUCCGAAGUAUGCUCUCCUGGAUGGACACUGGAGUCCUGCAGAUGCGUAUGCGGACUUGGCGAAGAGUACAACUGAUGCAGCCAAGUUUUUCGAGGAUCUAGGUGAUAAAGAAGUGGAGAAGCUUUUCUGGUUGCAAUUCAAUGCUCCCGUGUGCCCGCUGCCGUUAAGUGAGAAGAUGUCUGCUGUAGCGGAGCUUCAUAGGCUGUUUGGGCUUGCAAUGCGGUCUGUAAUAGACCAUCUUUGGCCGAAGGGGCCUAAGCCGGACAGUUACUUUGGUUUGGUGCAACAAUUCCUUGGGGCCGUGCCUCAGAUCGACGCCAUGAGAAGGUCAGCGUGCAUAGAGGGUGCACGAGUGGCUCUUGCCCGUGUUAAGGCCUAUUGGACAGAUAUGGAGGCCACCAUUGUAGCGACCCAGAAUCCGGCGGGAGGCCAGUAUCCGGUCGAGCACUACAUGGAGCAGGUAACAGAAGGUGCCCGCUUAAUAGGGGUGCAGUGCUCGAAGAAUGUGUUGUUCGAGUGA
rnacentral:rRNA from 1 species